GCGGAAGUGGCGGAAUUGGUAGACGCACCAGAUUUAGGUUCUGGCGCCGCAAGGUGUGAGAGUUCAAGUCUCUCCUUCCACACCU
rnacentral:tRNA from 1 species